rnacentral:tRNA from 1 species
UCCGUAGCUCAGCUGGAUAGAGUACUCGGCUACGAACCGAGCGGUCGGAGGUUCGAAUCUAUCCGGA